UAAGGCUCUUAUAAAGUAGUGCCAUAUCCUAUAAACAUUUCUUUUAAAAGUCUACUAUUGAUAAACGUAAAAAAAAUUAACUGAUGAUGCAGAUUUUUCGAAAUGUAGUAUCGUUUUUUUCUGAACUACAUAUUUCCUGUGAGAAUGUUUUUGUAACCGCGGUGGCAGGAAAUUCGCCACUUCCUGUGAAGUAAAUGAUUUAUUAAACUUCAAAGCUAAAAGUUGAGCAUUUUAUCCAGUUCUGAUGGAAAAAUCAAAAUAAAAAUGAAGAACGUCUACAGUGCUAUUUUUUCAAUUCUUAUAUCCUAUUGUAAAAUUAUUGUUUGAGUUCUUGUGUCAAUAUUUAUGUGAUUUCUUAAAAAUUGUGUAUAUCAUACAAAAUCGUUUUUUGUUCUUUUAAUGGAAUGAGUGUAGAAACCUGUCUUGUGUUCUUGAUAUUUAUUUUUAAAAUACUAUGAAAUUAGAUUUAUUAAAAGUUACUGAAGAUUUAAACUUUUUAUUGUAAAGAUAUGUUAAUAUAAUGAUUUUAUAUAUUCCUUUUUGUAUCUGUAAUUUUCAAGCUUGUAGUGGGAGAAUGAUUUUUUCUUCUUUUCCUUCCCCUAAGCAUGUUGUAUUUCUCUAAGUAUGCCAUUAUGACAACAAGCUUUUAUGUUGUUGAACAGUAUGAAUUAACUUUGUCAAGACGAUUCAAAGUGUUUAUCUGACAUAGUGUACUUAAUUAUCUUUAAUUUCAGUAACAGUACUUCGGUUUUGCUUAAAACGAUGUUAAUAUCAUCUCAUGUGUAAUCAUAUGUGUAAAUUUCUUUGUGAAGACGUAAUUGCUAAAUUGCAACAGUUGUUUAUGAAUAUUUUUGUAAUUUACUGUGAUAAGCUAUUUUUACUGUACCACGAACAAUUUUAAAUGUUUUCCUUGUGAAUUAAAUUCCCUCAUAAGCGUCAUUAUUAAUAUCAUAUUGCUGAAUUUUCAGUUGUGUAUUUUGAAUAUAAUUUAUGUAUUUUGCAGCUUGAAAGACAAUUAAAAUUCAUAGGUACUUCAAAUUUAAAAGGCCACUGGAGAUACUUAGCUUAAUUUAUAUUUCAUUAGCAAACUGUAAUAUAAUUUCUGAAAUGAGUAAAAAUAAAAAGAUCUUACAUCCAUACAAGAGGAGUUGGAAUGUGUUUUUAAUAAUAUGUAGUGAUAAGGAUUCUCGGAUAGUUUUCUCAAUUCCUUCCCUUAUAUCACUAAUCAAAAUUUCUUAUUUAUCAUUCUCUGAGGAAAUUUUAUUUGUCAUAUAUCCAUAUAUUCAAGGUUCAUCCAUUUCUUUUUAAAAAAUACAACUCGUUAAAAAUUCUUAAUUUCUGCUAGAAUUUAAAUGAUUCUUAAUAUUGCUUAAAUGACAUUUCUCUGUCUUUUUUAUGACUGCUGUUCUGAGUGUAAAUUAAAAUUUUAAAUAAACGUGGAAUUCCAACUGCGUGGCUUAAUGGAACCAUUGCAUAUUGGUGUUGUAAACAAUGAAAGCAAUCAGGUAUUUCAGAACAAAAGUUUUAGUUUGUUCACAACUUUUUAAAGCAAAUGUUAUCAACAAAAAUACUGUCUGUCAACAUUUAAAAAAAAAUUCUUGGAGUUCAGUUUUGAGCUUUUGGCCAUACUUCAACCUACAGUGAUGAGAGUAUGCUUUGUGAAAUUCAUGAUUUAAUGCAAUGUAGUCACUGAAUCCAGAAAUUCUUUUAGGAUACGGGUAUAAGAUGUAAAUAGAGCACACAUAAAAGAAGGAGAGGAGCUAUUUUAAGAGCAUAUGCUGUAAUUAGACAGUUUAAGCUUGGGAAGAAACAUAUUUGUGAAGAGAGUUCAACUGCUCGCAGCUCCAACGCCAUUAGGAACAGUGGGUUCCCUCUAGAGCAGUGGUCUCAAAUUGCAUGCUUCAUGGGCUAAAUGCAUGAUCUGAAAGCAGCUGAAGGGCCAGAACAUUUUUUAACAAAAUGUAAAAACAUUUUUAACAAAUAAAAAAAAAAUUACAUCAUUUACUGAAUAUUUAUCGGGACAUGCAUAAAUAAUAAUAAUACAAAGGAAAAUUUUCAAAUUUAUGUUUUUUCAGUGUUGACUCUAAAUAUUGGUACCUUUAAAAAAUUUCUAUUGGUUAUACUUCAUAAUUCAAGCAUAUUAACAGCUAAUUAUUAAAUUUUAAACUGACAUUUAUUUCAAGUAAUUCCAAUAUGAUUAAUGAACCACUAAAUAACUUACUUUUUAACUUUAGCUGGAAAUUUUGGAAUAGUGAAGCAUGACCAGCUGUUGGGCUGACAAAGUAAAUUUUACUGACUAUUCCAGCAGGGGAAGUUCUCCUACCUUACCCUAGUCUUAUGGCCUGGUAUUCAAGCAUAUUGCCACCCAGAUAGGAUAGUGGCUAAUGAUGCUGACUGUUGUACUGCAUGUGUUGAAUCCCAAAGGCAUGGAUGUUUGUAAGUGUAUAGUAUCUGUGUGGCAAGGGACACUCAAAUUACAUGCCUAGCCAAAAUCCUCAUAAGAGUUUGGUGGAAGGUAUGGACCUCUAGGAUAUUCUCAGAAUUCCAAAUUGAAACAUAAGCUUAACAGUUAGCUAGGUGCUAUCUCAAUCACCUAUGGUACUACAGAGAGUCUGGUUUAGCUUUUACCUAUACUAGCAUUCAAGGUUACUAUACUAAAAGAUUAGCUGUUUUAUGGUGUCACUAAUCCCAAGUAUGCUCUAAAGCAACUUCUUCCCUGCAGUCUUUGUGUUUUUGUUUCUGCCACCUUUGUGAAUAAGUGGCUUCAACAUUAUGAAAAGCCUAACCUUACAGCCAUACUGGGGUAAAGACAAGUCCCCAAAGUAUUCAUCUUUUUUCUUUCAGUAACAGUCAUGUGCGUAUAACUACAGUCCAUAUUUUUAUGUUGCUAAAACUAGAUUCACCAUAUCUGCAACAAAUGCAUAACUGAAAUGUAUUCAUGGAUCAUGUUAAGUUGCAUAGGUGCUGCAUGUGCCCUGCAGAGCAACGAGACUACUGAGACCAUUCCUUUGGAGAAGAAAUGAUCAAUCAGGUUUUGAAAAAAAAAAUUAUCAGUGAUGGUUGUCUGUUGAGGCAGUUUUUACUUGGACUGAAUCCUUGUACCGUAGCAAGUUCUAAUAACAUUUUAGAGCCAUGAUUGCUGGUUAAAAGUCUAGAAAGAACCUGUGACAAACUGAAAAACAUGUUAAUGGUAUUAGCACAGAAUAAGCAUGUUUUAAAGGAUGAAUGCUAUGAAUUAUGUUAGUAUUUGGAGAAUUUUUGGAAAAAAGCAGAAAAAUAAAAUUAUUUGAGUUUUGUCCUAGUAAUUCCAAGAGGCUUUCUUUUGGUACAUUUCUCUUUACAUGUUUUUAUGAUUUUCAGUAUUCAGAAGUAUGGGAAAUUGCAAAAAUGAUUCCAUUCUUGUCACAUGUGAAAAGAAGUUCCUUUGUUCAAAAAGAAAUUUAAAAUAUUUUCUUUUAUUUCUCAGUGCACUAUAAACGAUUUAUAGCUUCUGGAGGUGAUAGUAUCAAAAUUGUUAAUAGAAUGAGAUUAACAGUUUUUCUUCUAACUUUUCUAAAUAUAUGCAGUAUUUAGUUAAAACAAAAAUUCUGUAAUUAAAUCUGAUCUAACACAACACUAAUUUAAAAAUACAGUGAGGUA
rnacentral:lncRNA from 1 species